AAGGUGACUCUGGACGUGACGAUGGGAACCGCCUGCUCUUUCCUGCAGGAGCUGGUGUCCGUGGGCCUUGGAGACAGUAGGACGGGUGAGAUGACAGUCCUGGGACAUGUGAAGCACAAACUUGUAUGUUCUCCCAAUUUUGAAUCCCUGUUGGAUCACAAGCACCGGUAAAACGAGCAGAUGGAGCAUGGUGGUGACUGCCCACGGCUGCUGCCUGCUCCAGACGUUUUGUUCUCAAAUCUGUUGGACCCAGAAGGGGCCUGUUUAGCCCACCCACUCCAGCCAUUGUCCCAGUUUUCCCCCCAGGGCCCACGCGGCUCCCUCCCACAGCAGCCGUGAAUGGCGACGACCUUCCCACAGCACAGAAACUGCACCUCCUCACCGCUGGGGGAUUUGUCCUUGCUAUUUAUUUUUAUAUUUAUGUCUUAUCUCUUCACCUGCCUGUCCCCUCCCCAGGUGGAGAGGGGACGGUCUGUGGGAAAGGGUGCUUUCCCUUUGCUUCUCAGGGUGGGAAACGGAAGGACGGCUGCUUUUGCUCCCUCCUUCCUCCUGUGAGGCAACGCCCAAGAGCGAGUGGGGAAUUCUUGAGUCUGAGAUGCAGUCCCAGCUCUGCUGUUACUAAUCGUGUGAUUGGUCAAACUACCUAACCUUUCUGAGCCUCAUGUUCCUCAUCUGAGAAAAAUGAGGACGAUACCUACCUCACAGGGUUGGUGUGAGGAUGAAAUGGAGCAUUUUCGAUGAAAACUCCUUGCACAAGGCCAGAUGUACACAGUAGUCACUCAAUAAAUGUUAGUUUAGUUUCCCUUUGCCUGAGUCUAAUUUCAAGCCAGUGUUGCAGCUCCCUUUGCCGUGAGCUUAGCAAACCACCUUUGGAACAGGUGUGAACCACACGGGCUCUUCCUGACUUAAGUGGCCCCAGAGAUUUUGGACGGAUAUGCCUUCCUUCCCUCCUUCUCUUUGUUCUUUGAGCCUGUUUUUUAUUCAUCAUUCAUUCUACACUGAGCCCAGCAAGCUCCUAGCCACAGCCAGGAGGCAGGACUGACUAGUCCCCACGUCACCCCUUCUGUAGCUAAGAGCUCAGGUGAGCUCUGUUGGAUGCUGAUGUUCUGAUCUUUGUAGAGGACAAGCAGAAAGGGUUCCUGGAGUCGUGGGCCGUGGAAGUCCUGUUUAGUCGAAGGCUGAGCUUUGGUGAAGCAACUGCUUCUUUGGUCUCUGGGCUUCAUUGUUUGCUGCUUCUCCUUUUCAGGAGUAAUGCACUGCCAGUGAGUCUCCAUUGUAGUCCUCUCUUUGUUUCUCUUGGUUUGUCUGGUUCAGAAACACUCUUCUUUUCCAGGCUAACUCAAACCUGCCUCGUGAGAUGUUGGGUGUUUUAGUCUUUAGUUGUUUGUUCUGCGGAGGCCUGAGGGAAAGCAUCUCCCACUUGACAGUUCAUCGCUUCACCGUUUCAGGUAUCUUGGGGAUUAAGUCAUGACUCGGCGUCAGCAUCUCCAUGACCUCUCUCUCUCUUCCUCAUACACAAAUUGGACAGUGUUGGUAGAAGGACAGGGCAGGCACCCAGAGCACACAUUUCUACCAACAGAUAAAUGCAAAUAACAAGGACAAAAAAGCCCAAAGCUAAAUUCAUGUAUGAGUGAAAAAUGGAUGCAAAUUUAUUACUCUCUACAUCUGUGUGUAUUUUGUUAAUAUGCCGAAUGUGCACUAUAUAGGCUUGUUCAUUUUUAAUUACUUUGCUAAGUCACAGAGUGUGGGUUUUAGAGUCAGAAACGGGUUUGAAUCUAACUACCAGUAAUUUUGGGGGAAAUUACCCUCCCUAAGUUCAAUUUUUCUCAUUUUCUGUAAAAAUGAGGUAAUAGUAGCUUUUUAAUAGGGUUGCUUUUAAAUUAUAGUGGACACAAAGCAUUUAUUUCGUGCCAGACAGAAAAGUGGUUCUGUCAGGAUGUAUUCAGCACAAGUAACCAAAAACUAGACUGACAGUGACGUAAACAAUUAGGGCAUUUAAUUAUCUCAUGUAAUGGGAAGUCUGGAAAUAGAUGGUUCCAGAGUUGGGUAGCAGCCAGAAUGUCAUCAGAAUUUUCUUGGAUCCAUUUGUUCUGCCAUCCUUGGUCUUGCAAAGUGGCUGUUACAGCUCAGCAUCCUUUCUUCAAAUUACAGUGUCCAAAGCCAAAGCUGGAAGCAAAGUAGACAGCAGCAAAGGAACUUUCUCCUCAUGCUGUUCUCAUCAGAAGGAAUAUCCUUUAGAGGCCCAAAGAGACUUGCCCUUAUGUCUCUUGAUAGAGCUGGGCCACCCUUGCAUGGGCACUGGCAGAGAGGGGUGGACAGUUUGUCCCCUGGCACUGACAGCUUGUUGCCUAUGAGACGGUUUUGUUAGUAGGUAGGAAACAGGAAUGGCAGUUAGGUAGACAGUCCAUGAUAGCUGCCACCACAAUUAAAAAAUACACUGUCUAUUGUAAAAUCCUAAAGUAGGUAGAAUUUUUGAAAUGUUCAAUUACCUUUUAUUCUACUAAAUAAACCAGUUUUAAUAUUUUAGUGCAUAUUCUUUCAGACUACAAAAUUGCAUAUGUUGCACAUAAUAUAAACAUGCUGUCCUAUUAUGUGUUCCAUCUCACUCAAAGGUAAAUACAGUUCUUCCACGUUAAUAACCAUCUUGUACUUCAGGUACUUCUGAUCUAACUGAAAGUAUCAGAGACAGCAAGCACCCUUAAAUCCUCCCAGACCUACCCACAUGUUCCAGUGGAAUUGAUCCCUCACACUCAGCUCUUUAAAAGAAAAGAGGGGGAGUUCCCAUCGUGGCGCAGUGGUUAACGA
rnacentral:lncRNA from 1 species